AAAACUAAGUACCCAUACUUAUUGUAUUCAAUCAAGAGGCAAAUAGUGUGUACAGCCAAAUCGUUAGAUAUCAAUUGGAACUAAGAAUGUGUGCUGGUGGGGGAAGGAAAUGAUCGUUGUAAAGACGAAUGAAGCCCUGUUAGAAAAAAUACCACACUUUGUAAGCAAUUUAUAGGACAUGGACGGAAGGAAGCUUAAAAAGAUCAGUACAAACAUUUCUUUUAACCCAUACGGUAGAAUGUUUAAGACAUGUUUAAGACAUUUAUUUAACACAAAAUGCAGUUUCUUACAGUUAAUAAGAUAUACCAGAAACUUAUUCUCUAUCGGCUUUUUGACAACAUCAAAGUAUUCAGACAGAAUGGUGUAUUUGCAACUAUCUGGAAACUGAAGAAAUAUUAAAUCUUAUCACAUCUUAAGAAAUAUUAAAUCUUAUCACACUCACUCACUAUGGCGAAAUAAUUAAUUUUUUAGUUGUUUGCUUCUAUGGAAGCGAUUAGAACAUUGCCUCCCGUUGAUGAAGUAUACUACAUAUAAGGCUAAGGAUGCCUUUGUCUUUGCCGUUAGUACACCGGUAUACAAUUUUCGAAAUAGGUACAAAUUCCACUCGUUUGACACCUAUUGCACUUGAUAUUUGUACAGUGGCGGCCACCAAAUUAGCACAUUGAUUAUCGAACUUUGAUACUGAUUUUGGUGCCAAAGUGGGUUCAAUUUGUGAACGUGGCAGAAAUAAGAAAAAACUCAAAUGCUAUGGCACAUUGUAUUGUAAGGAGUCCAGAUAUUAAAUAAAAUUUUGCGUGUUUAAUGCCAGCAAAACA